rnacentral:tRNA from 1 species
GUUAUGGUAGUUUAAUAAAACAUUAGUCUGUGACACUAAAAAUGAAAAACAUUUCCCAUAAC